UAUGACAGAUAAAUUUAGAUUAUGANCUUAUUCAUUAUAAUAUNCUAUGGNGGUGGCNCAAAAUCCGAGGCCCCGACUGUUUACUAANAACACAAUUCAUGAGCAAUGAUGANCNUCAUACAUUCUGGAUGAANUUUGCCCGAUGCCAUUAACAUAAAAGAGGUAAUGGGAAACUGUUACUAAUUGAAAGUCUGGUUAAUAGCGGUCUUAAUCAUGAGGAUCCUAANGUAGCANAAUCAGUUGGCCAUUAAAUGUGGCCUGGUNUCNAUANUGUAACGAUGGUCUCACUGUCUCUACAACUUGCUCANUGAAAUUGAAUUACCCGUGCAGAUGCNGGUUACCUCCANGUGGACGGGAAGACCCUAUGCAGCUUCUAC
rnacentral:rRNA from 1 species